AAAGUUGGGGUUGGGGCCGUGAGUCAGGCCCUAUUUUGGGGUGUAGAACUUUUGAGAUGCCCAGUAGUUUCUGUACGGGAGUGAGGUUGAAGAGGCACCUGGGCAUCCAGACCGGGCUUCAAGCAGAGGAAGGAGCUUCAAAGCAAGCUAUCAGGGUAUAGAUGGGGUUUUGCCAUGGGACUGGACGACAUAUCCCCAUUGGAGUCACAUCUUUCCCUGAGCCAAUACCUUGUUCGGGAGGUGCCACAUCAUGGCUAGGGCUGGGUUUUUGUGCCUGGAGUAUGAUAUGAAAGGUUAGGAUCUUACCCAAACCACAUGUCCUGAGAGUUGGGGAAGGUAGCUUCCUAAAGAAAACUCAGGGUGUUCUUAGCAGAAGUGGACUCAUUUGCUAACAGCAAAAACAACCAAAAAAAGCCUUUAGUUGCCUCUAAGGCUUCCUCUCAUUAAUUCCACAGUGUCUUGAAGCACCUAUUCUGUGCCAAGCUAAUACCAGCAAAGCAGCCUACUAUGUGCCAAGUCCUGUGCUUCCCCCCUCACUUUACCUACAGAACUAGCCCUCCUGAGGACCAGAGGGUACUUAGGGGUCUCCCAGCUCUUUUGUCCCUGGUACCUCAGGUUCCCCUCAGUACCAAGGCUGAAUGAUCCAAUUACCCUCAUUGAGGAGGAUGGCAUAAGAGAGCAGACUUUCUGCCUGGAAAAAGCAGAAUAGGACCUGGCUGACUCCAAAGCCUACACUCCAACGUCCUCAGUCUGCACUCAAGCCUAUGGCUGCUCCGGGCCUCCUUCCCCAGGCACCCCCAGCAUUUCCACAGCACAGUCUCCAGCCUCAAGCUGGCAGCUGCUAGGACCCAGGGGGCCGGUGCCAGGCCCUGCCCCUCCCUUGCCAGCUCUGUGUGUCUCUAAAGGGCAGCAUCAGAGUGACAGCCGGUACCAUCUCCAGCAGGGGCUGAGUCGCUGGUGUGGAAGAGAGAGCCACAGUCCCCGGCUUGCACCCUUCCAUGGGGCCAGGCAAGCCCCCAGAAGGAUGGCAGCCCGGGCGUCUGAGCCAGCGCCUGGGCAGCCUGUGAGCACAGGGCGAAGCCU
rnacentral:lncRNA from 1 species